AUUGAACGCUGGCGGCAUGCCUUACACAUGCAAGUCGAACGGUAACAGGUCUUCGGAUGCUGACGAGUGGCGAACGGGUGAGUAAUACAUCGGAACGUGCCUAGUAGUGGAGGAUAACUACUCGAAAGAGUGGCUAAUACCGCAUGAGAUCUACGGAUGAAAGCAGGGGAUCGCAAGACCUUGUGCUACUAGAGCGGCCGAUGGCAGAUUAGGUAGUUGGUGGGAUAAAAGCUUACCAAGCCGACGAUCUGUAGCUGGUCUGAGAGGACGAUCAGCCACACUGGGACUGAGACAAGGCCCAGACUCCUACGGGAGGCAGCAGUGGGGAAUUUUGGACAAUGGGCGCAAGCCUGAUCCAGCAAUGCCGCGUGCAGGAUGAAGGCCUUCGGGUUGUAAACUGCUUUUGUACGGAACGAAAAGCCCUGGGUUAAUACCCUGGGGUCAUGACGGUACCGUAAGAAUAGGCACCGGCUAACUACGUGCCAGCCGCCGCAGUAA
rnacentral:rRNA from 1 species